rnacentral:rRNA from 1 species
UACGUAGGGAGCAAGCGUUGUCCGGAAUCAUUGGGCGUAAAGAGCGCGUAGGCGGCCCUGUAAGUCCGUUGUGAAAGUCAAAGGCUCAACCUUUGAAAGCCGAUGGAUACUGCAGGGCUAGAGUCCGGAAGAGGCGAGUGGAAUUCCUGGUGUAGCGGUGGAAUGCGCAGAUAUCAGGAGGAACACCAAUAGCGAAGGCAGCUCGCUGGGACGGUACUGACGCUGAGGCGCGAAAGCGUGGGGAGCGAACAGG